UGGGGGAUAUUGCACAAUGGGCGAAAGCCUGAUGCAGCGACGCCGCGUGGGGGAUGAAGGCUUUCGGGUUGUAAACCUCUUUCGCUAUCGAACAAGGCCCGCUUAGGGUGGGUUGAGGGUAGGUGGAGAAGAAGCGCCGGCUAACUACGUGCCAGCAGCCGCGGUAAUACGUAGGGCGCGAGCGUUGUCCGGAAUUAUUGGGCGUAAAGGGCUUGUAGGCGGCUUGUUGCGCCUGCUGUGAAAACGCGGGGCUUAACUUCGCGCGUGCAGUGGAUACGGGCAGGCUUGAGUGUGGUAGGGGUGACUGGAAUUCCAGGUGUAGCGGUGGAAUGCGCAGAUAUCUGGAGGAACACCGAUGGCGAAGGCAGGUCACUGGGCCAUUACUGACGCUGAGGAGCGAAAGCAUGGGUAGCGAACAGG
rnacentral:rRNA from 1 species